rnacentral:tRNA from 1 species
GGGGAUUUAGCUCAGUGGUAGAGCGCUUGCCUAGGAAGCGCAAGGCCCUGGGUUCGGUCCCCAGAUCUCGA